rnacentral:rRNA from 1 species
UAGGGAAUCUUCCUCAAUGGGCGAAAGCUUGACGGAGCAACGCCGCGUGAGUGAUGAAGGUCUUCGGAUCGUAAAACUCUUUUAUUAGGGAAGAACAAAUGUGUAAGUAAAUAUGCACGUCUUGAUGGUACCUAAUCAGAAAGCCACGGCUAACUACGUGCCAGCAGCCGCGGUAAUACGUAGGUGGCAAGCGUUAUCCGGAAUUAUUGGGCGUAAAGCGCGCGUAGGCGGUUUUUUAAGUCUGAUGUGAAAGCCCACGGCUCAACCGUGGAGGGUCAUUGGAAACUGGAAAACUUGAGUGCAGAAGAGGAAAGUGGAAUUCCAUGUGUAGCGGUGAAAUGCGCAGAGAUAUGGAGGAACACCAGUGGCGAAGGCGACUUUCUGGUCUGUAACUGACGCUGAUGUGCGAAAGCGUGGGGAUCAAACAGG